UCGUCAGCUCGUGUCGUGAGAUGUUGGGUUAAGUCCCGCAACGAGCGCAACCCUUGUCAUUAGUUGCUACGAAAGGGCACUCUAAUGAGACUGCCGGUGACAAACCGGAGGAAGGUGGGGAUGACGUCAAGUCCUCAUGGCCCUUAUGGGUAGGGCUUCACACGUCAUACAAUGGUCGGUACAGAGGGUUGCCAAGCCGCGAGGUGGAGCCAAUCCCAGAAAACCGAUCGUAGUCCGGAUUGUAGUCUGCAACUCGACUACAUGAAGUCGGAAUCGCUAGUAAUCGCGGAUCAGCAUGUCGCGGUGAAUACGUUCCCGGGUCUUGUACACACCGCCCGUCACACCAUGGGAG
rnacentral:rRNA from 1 species